rnacentral:rRNA from 1 species
GAUGAACGCUAGCGGCAGGCCUAAUACAUGCAAGUCGAGGGGUAGAAGAGGCUUGCUUCUUUGAGACCGGCGCACGGGUGCGUAACGCGUAUGCAACCUACCUUCAUCUGGGGGAUAGCCCGGAGAAAUCCGGAUUAAUACCGCAUAAAAUCACAGGAUGGCAUUAUCCAAUGAUCAAACAUUUAUGGGAUGGAGAUGGGCAUGCGUGGCAUUAGCCAGUUGGCGGGGUAACGGCCCGCCAAGGCGACGAUGACUAGGGGAGCUGAGAGGAUGGCCCCCCACACUGGUACAGAGACACGGACCAGACUCCGACGGGAGGCAGCAUUAAGGAAUAUUGGUCAAUGGAGGCAACUCUGAACCCGCCGUGCCGCGUGCAGGAAGACUGCCCUACUGGUUGUAAACUGCUUUUAUUCGGGAAUAAACCUUAUUACGUGUAAUAAGCUGAAUGUACCGAAGGAAUAAGAAUCGGCUAACUCCGUGCCAGCAGCAGCCGCGG